AAAGUCGUAACAAGGUCUCCGUUGGUGAACCAGCGGAGGGAUCAUUACGAGAGUGUAACAACUCCCAACCCACUGUUUACCUACCCGUCCACCGUGCUUCGGCAGGCAGCCCUGUGGGACAGAGCCUCGCCCCCUCCGGGGGGUGCCUGCCGCUGGCCAACCAAAAUUCUAGUCAUUAUAGUACCAUCUGAGUCUUCCACAAAUGAACAAAACUUUCAACAACGGAUCUCUUGGUUCUG
rnacentral:misc_RNA from 1 species